rnacentral:lncRNA from 1 species
GUCAACAAAUCGUGAUACUUGGGUAUUCAAACAUAAACCUUAACAUAUUAAUUUCAAACUCCCGUGCCUCUGUGCUGUAGUGUACGUACUUUGUGAUUAUUUUGGUUAUGCCACUUCUGUACUGAACAUGACAUGUAACACCUGAUUAUACAACAUUCAAUCAUGUGUGACAUGUCAUGUUCAGUGCAGGAGUGGUAUAUGAAUGUUGUAUGAUCAGGUGUCGCAUGUCAUGUUCAGUUCUGGAGUGGUGAAUGAAUGAACGCGAAAUAUUUGUGUAUGCAUCUUCUAGUCAAAUAUUUCUUUUCCAUUGGGCAAGAACAGACACACGCAUAGACUAAUUGAUUAGUAGCUUAACGUUCAGUGGCAAAUAUUGCAUGCAUGUUCAGGACAAGAAUAAGUUAACAAUAUAUACAAUAGGUAGGUGUUGUCAUAAC